rnacentral:lncRNA from 1 species
UCAAUAGCUUUAUCAGAUAAAACUAUCGAAUCAGAAUCCAAACCCUAGAAUCACCUUAUCGAUAUCGAUAAAACAAAAACAAGCAUGCAAAAGAGAUAGAAUUUUUACUUUCAUCAAAAAGAAAAAAGUGGCAUGUUGGUAUUUUUUAUAAGACUCCAAAGUAGAAGUUCUCCAAUGGUGAUCCAUAUAGAAAUUAGCCAAGAUCUUUUCUAAUCAGUGCGCUGUCGCAGUCUUGUCUUCUCAAGAACACUAUCGACUUCGAACUCAUGGUA